UGGGGAAUAUUGCACAAUGGGCGCAAGCCUGAUGCAGCCAUGCCGCGUGUAUGAAGAAGGCCUUCGGGUUGUAAAGUACUUUCAGCGGGGAGGAAGGCGAUAAGGUUAAUAACCUUGUCGAUUGGCGUUACCCGCAGAAGAAGCACCGGCUAACUCCGUGCCAGCAGCCGCGGUAAUACGGAGGGUGCAAGCGUUAAUCGGAAUUACUGGGCGUAAAGCGCACGCAGGCGGUCUGUCAAGUCGGAUGUGAAAUCCCCGGGCUCAACCUGGGAACUGCAUUCGAAACUGGCAGGCUAGAGUCUUGUAGAGGGGGGUAGAAUUCCAGGUGUAGCGGUGAAAUGCGUAGAGAUCUGGAGGAAUACCGGUGGCGAAGGCGGCCCCCUGGACAAAGACUGACGCUCAGGUGCGAAAGCGUGGGGAGCAAACA
rnacentral:rRNA from 1 species